rnacentral:rRNA from 1 species
ACGGGAGGCAGCAGUGAGGAAUAUUGGUCAAUGGACGGAAGUCUGAACCAGCCAAGUCGCGUGAAGGAUGAAGGUAUUAUGUAUUGUAAACUUCUUUAGACGCAGAGAAAUAAGGCGCUCGAGAGCGCUGAUGCUAGUAUGCGUAGAAUAAGGAUCGGCUAACUCCGUGCCAGCAGCCGCGGUAAUACGGAGGAUGCGAGCGUUAUCCGGAUUUAUUGGGUUUAAAGGGUGCGUAGGCGGAUGAUUAAGUCUGUGGUGAAAGCGUGCGGCUCAACCGUACCGAGCCAUGGAAACUGGUUGUCUUGAGUGUAAACGAGGUAGGCGGAAUGUGACAUGUAGCGGUGAAAUGCUUAGAUAUGUCACAGAACUCCGAUUGCGAAGGCAGCUUACCAGCAUACAACUGACGCUGAGGCACGAAAGCGUGGGUAUCAAACAGGAUUAGAUACCCUGGUA